rnacentral:tRNA from 1 species
GGGAGUGUGGCUCAGUGGUAGAGCAGCUGCCUAGCAUGCGUGAGGCCCUGGGUUUGAUCCCCAGCACUACAA